GUUAGAACGCUCGUAGUCGGAUUUCGGGGCGGGCCGACCGGUCUGCCGAUGGGUACGCACUGGUCGGCGCGUCCUUCCUUCCGGAGACCGUGCCUACUCUUAACUGAGCGGGGGCGGGAGACGGAACGUUUACUUUGAAAAAAUCAGAGUGUUUCAAGCAGGCAGCUCGCUCUUGCAUGGAUUAGCAUGGGAUAAUGAAAUAGGACCUUGGUGCUAUUUUGUUGGUUUCGAACACCGAAGUAAUGAUGAGAAGGGACAGUCAGGGGCACUCGUAUUCCGCCGAGAGAGGUGAAAUUCUCAGACCAGCGGAAGACGAACCACUGCGAAAGCAUUUGCCAGGGAUGUUUUCACUGAUCAAGAACGAAAGUUAGGGGAUCGAAGACGAUCAGAUACCGUCGUAGUCUUAACCAUAAACCAUACCGACUAGGGAUUGGAGGAUGUUCACUGAUUGACUCCUUCAGCACCUUACGGGAAACUAAAGUCUUUGGGUUCCGGGGGGAGUAUGGUCGCAAGGCUGAAACUUAAAGGAAUUGACGGAAGGGCACCACCAGGUGUGGAGCCUGCGGCUUAAUUUGACUCAACACGGGGAAACUUACCAGGUCCAGACAUUGUGAGGAUUGACAGAUUGAGAGCUCUUUCUUGAUUUGAUGGGUGGUGGUGCAUGGCCGUUCUUAGUUGGUGGAGUGAUUUGUCUGGUUAAUUCCGUUAACG
rnacentral:rRNA from 1 species